CCUACGGGAGGCAGCAGUAAGGAAUAUUGGACAAUGCUCGCAAGAGUGAUCCAGCCAUGCCGCGUGCAGGAAGAAUGCCCUAUGGGUAGUAAACUGCUUUUGAACUAGAGAAAACCCCAGUACGUGUACUGGGCUGAUAGUAUAGUUAGAAUAAGCAUCGGCUAACUUCGUGCCAGCAGCCGCGGUAAGACGAAGGAUGCAAGCGUUAUCCGGAUUCAUUGGGUUUAAAGGGAGCGUAGGUGGACUGAUAAGUCAGUGGUGAAAUCUCCGAGCUUAACUCGGAAAUUGCCAUUGAUACUGUUGGUCUUGAGUACAGUUGCUGUGGGCGGAAUAUGACAUGUAGUGGUGAAAUACAUAGAGAUGUCAUAGAACACCGAUUGCGAAGGCAGCUCACAAAGCUGUAACUGACACUGAGGCUCGAAAGUGNGGAGUACAACAGAUAGAUACCUACGUAGUCGCACCGUAACGAUAGAUACUCGCUGCGUAGGGACGACCGUACGU
rnacentral:rRNA from 1 species